rnacentral:rRNA from 1 species
AGAGUUUGAUCCUGGCUCAGGAUGAACGCUGGCGGCGUGCCUAACGCUGCAAGUCGAACGGGAACCUCUGGAUUCGUCUGGAGGGGAGAGUGGCGAACGGGUGAGUAACACGUAGGUGACCUGCCUCAAAGACGGGGAUAACCACUGGAAACGGUGGCUAAUACCCGAUAGUCUCGGUGAUUCGGUUCACCGUGUAAAGCUCCGGCGCUUUGAGAGGGGCCUGCGGCCCAUCAGCUAGUUGGUAGGGUAACGGCCUACCUAGGCAAAGACGGGUAGGGGGCGUGAGAGCGUGACCCCCCACACUGGCACUGGGAUACGGGCCAGACUCCUACGGGAGGCAGCAGCGAGGAAUAUUGCGCAAUGAGCGAAAGCUAGACGCAGCAACGCCGCGUGGGUGAUGAAGGCCUUCGGGUCGUAAAACCCUUUUCUGAGGGAAGAGAAGGGACGGUACCUCAGGAAUAAGCCUCGGCUAACUAUGUGCCAGCAGCCGCGGUAACACAUAGGAGGCGAGCGUUAUCCGGAUUUACUGGGCGUAAAGAGCGUUGAGGCGGCUCUGUAAGUUGGACGUGAAAGCUCCUGGCCUAACUGGGAGAGGUCGUUCAAUACUGCAGGACUUGAGGACAGCAGAGGGGGGUGGAAUUCCCGGUGUAGUGGUGAAAUGCGUAGAUACCGGGAGGAACACCAGUGGCGAAGGCGGCCCCCUGGGCUGCUCCUGACGCUGAAGGCGAAAGCUAGGGGAGCAAACGGGAUUAGAAACCCCGGUAGUCCUAGCCGUAAACGAUGGAUACUAGGUGUAGGAGGUGAAAAAUCCUUCUGUGCCGAAGCUAACGCGUUAAGUAUCCCGCCUGGGGACUACGGUCGCAAGGCUAAAACUCAAAGGAAUUGACGGGGACCCGCACAAGCAGCGGAGCGUGUGGUUUAAUUCGAUACUACGCGAAGAACCUUACCAGGGUUUGACAUGCAGGUAGUAGUGAAGCGAAAGCGGAACGAUCCUUCGGGAAGCCUGCACAGGUGCUGCAUGGCUGUCGUCAGCUCGUGCCGUGAGGUGUUAGGUUAAGUCCUGUAACGAGCGCAACCCCUACCGUUAGUUAUACGUGUCUAGCGGGACUGCCCGGUAAAACUGGGAGGAAGGUGGGGAUGACGUCAAGUCAGCAUGGCCUUUAUGUCCUGGGCUACACACACGCUACAAUGGCCGGUACAAUGGGUCGCCAAGCCGCGAGGCGGAGCCAAUCCUGAAAGCCGGUCUCAGUUCGGAUUGUAGGCUGCAACUCGCCUGCAUGAAGUUGGAGUUGCUAGUAACCGCAGGUCAGCCACACUGCGGUGAAUACGUUCCCGGGUCUUGUACACACCGCCCGUCACGUCAUGGAAGCUGGUAACACCUGAAGCCAGUGGGCCAACCGCAAGGAGGCAGCUGUUUAAGGUGGGACUGGUGACUGGGACGAAGUCGUAACAAGGUA